rnacentral:rRNA from 1 species
GAACGCUGGCGGCGUGCCUAACACAUGCAAGUCGAACGAAGCGUCCCGCCCGAUGAAGUGGAGUGCUUGCACAAAGCGGAAUCAAUUGGGACGACUUAGUGGCGGACGGGUGAGUAACGCGUGGGUAACCUGCCUUAUACAGGGGGAUAACAGUUAGAAAUGACUGCUAAUACCGCAUAAGCGCACAGUACCGCAUGAUACAGUGUGAAAAGAUUUAUCGGUAUAAGAUGGACCCGCGUCUGAUUAGCCAGUUGGUGAGGUAACGGCUCACCAAAGCGACGAUCAGUAGCCGGCCUGAGAGGGUGAACGGCCACAUUGGGACUGAGACACGGCCCAAACUCCUACGGGAGGCAGCAGUGGGGGAUAUUGCACAAUGGGGGAAACCCUGAUGCAGCGACGCCGCGUGAGUGAAGAAGUAUUUCGGUAUGUAAAGCUCUAUCAGCAGGGAAGAAAAUGACGGUACCUGACUAAGAAGCCCCGGCUAACUACGUGCC